GGCGAGUUUACAGCAGUGCAAAUCAACAGCCGUAUUAACAGGGUCAAUGAAAAGGAACUGAGAAAGAAAUGAAAGGAUGGAGAAACAGGAUUAUCAGAAACAAUGCAACGCAUUUUCAUUGGAAAUAAAAUUAACAAGAACACAUUGCAACAAAUUAUGAUGCAAAAUUAAACACCGAACUACGGAGAAUUGGGAUUUACGAGGAAUAAACUCGGAUAAAUGCCGAAUUUCCUCCCCAAAAAUUAAACUCCGAAAAACACCCUACGAAUUUCAAGAAAAAUCAACUCUGAAAACAUGGAGCCCUAACGAUGUGUCACAAUA
rnacentral:lncRNA from 1 species